rnacentral:rRNA from 1 species
AUGUUUACUGUGGGCUUAGACGUUGAUACGCGUUCCUACUUCACCGCAGCUACCAUGAUCAUAGCUGUGCCCACAGGAAUCAAAAUCUUUAGUUGGAUCACUACCAUGUGGGGAGGUUCGAUACAAUACAAAGCACCCAUGCUAUUUGCUGUAGGGUUCAUGUUUUUGUUCACCAUAGGAGGGCUCACUGGAAUAGUUCUAGCAAAAUCUGGGCUAGACAUUGCUCUACAUGAUACUUAUUAUGUGGUUGCACAUUUCCAUUAUGUACUUUCUACGGGAGCCGUUUUUGCUUUAUUGCUGGAUUUUACUAUUGGGUGGGUAAAAUCUUUGGUCAGACAUAUCCUGAAACUUUAG